GACGCGCGCACGCGCACGGAAACACGCACACGCGCACACGCACUGUUAUGGUCUGGAUGCCGCGUCCUCCCAAAGUUCAGCGUCCCUAGGGGAAGGGUCCACAGAACGAGGCCGUGCGGGGAGGAGCCACAGCCGCAGGCAUAUCCACCGGCAACGCCCCCGAGACGGAGGCCUCUCGUCCCCUCACAUAGGAUCUGUCCUUGGCCAGACUCCAGGCCUGAACUGAAUGGGGAAGGAGACCUUAGGAAGUGUUCUGUACGUACCCGCUGGCGACUGGAGUGAAGCGGUGGCUGUUGCAAGAGGUCAGGCCGCUGAGCAACAUUGUGCGCGUCCCCUACCCCACGACUCCCUCCCUCGCGUCUCCGGGGGCCCCCCGGGUCCGCUAGCCACGCCACAGCCCCGGUGCUCUCGCCCCACACACACGUCCACCACGUCUCUGUGCUGACCGCUUCAUGUGCAAAGCGUGUCAUUCCUGGGCCAUGUUCUUAGAUGAGUUACUGUCUGUUUCUCAAGAAGUCGGCCCCCCUCCCAUUCAGAAGUGUGCCUGUCUUCCUGGCAGUCGGUGGGGCAGGGCCGCCACCUGCUGGAGACCUCUCCUCACGGGGCAGGGGUGGAGGUCCCAGGGAAGGGU